AAGAUAGCAUUAUUUGAAUAUACAAUCAGUCUAUAAUUAACCAGAGAUGACAAUUAUAAAUAACACUGUGUCCCAGAGUUUCCAAGAAACCUGACACACACAGUUCUUGGGUAUGUUGAAACACUUCCAAGAAAAGUAAAGAAGUGAAAAAAAAAUCUUUUAGAAGUCUUCAAUUAAAAUGUGUUUCAGUAAAAACGACUUUCAUGAAGUGUUUUGGUACAUAUCACCCGGCAGACAUUCGUCCUUGUCUUCACACCUCUAAUUGUUUUUGCUGGCCAAUUACAGCUACGUCGAAUCGAGACCUUCUGCUUGGGACAACCAUGCUUUUCAUAUGUGAGGAAGAGUCACCGUGCUCAAGACUGUAGCCUCCGCCUGAUUCCUUUAACAGUGGAUUCGACGCCUACAGUCUGGGGACCUUUCCACGAAGGGAAAGAAAAGCCUCUUGCAGAAAGUCUGCAAACAUUCCUGUGUGUGAAGGAACAUGGACGAGAAGCACAGGCAAUUGUUGGGAGCCGCCCCCACAUUCGCCGUCACAAGAUGGCGUUGACAUCCUGUGUUCUAAGUGGUAAACAAAUAA